rnacentral:rRNA from 1 species
GACGAACGCUGGCGGCGUGCUUAACACAUGCAAGUCGAACGAUGAAGCCGGAGCUUGCUCUGGUGAAUUAGUGGCGAACGGGUGAGUAACACGUGAGUAACCUGCCCUUGACUCUGGGAUAACUGCGGGAAACUGUAGCUAAUACCGGAUACGACCCUCGGAGGCAUCUCCUGGGGGUGGAAAGAAUUUCGGUCAAGGAUGGACUCGCGGCCUAUCAGCUAGUUGGUGAGGUAAAGGCUCACCAAGGCGACGACGGGUAGCCGGCCUGAGAGGGUGGCCGGCCACAGUGGGACUGCGACACGGCCCAGACUCCUACGGGAGGCAGCAGUGGGGAAUAUUGCACAAUGGGCGCAAGCCUGAUGCAGCAACGCCGCGUGAGGGAUGACGGCCUUCGGGUUGUAAACCUCUUUUAGCAGGGAAGAAGCGAAAGUGACGGUACCUGCAGAAAAAGCACCGGCUAACUACGUGCCAGCAGCCGCCGUAA